CCUACGGGGGGCACCAGUGGGGAAUAUUGCACAAUGGGCGCAAGCCUGAUGCAGCCAUGCCGCGUGUGUGAAGAAGGCCUUCGGGUUGUAAAGCACUUUCAGCGGGGAGGAAGGCGUUAAGGUUAAUAACCUUGGCGAUUGACGUUACCCGCAGAAGAAGCACCGGCUGACUCCGUGCCAGCAGCCGCGGUAAUACGGAGGGUGCAAGCGUUAAUCGGAAUUACUGGGCGUAAAGCGCACGCAGGCGGUCUGUCAAGUCGGAUGUGAAAUCCCCGGGCUCAACCUGGGAACUGCAUUCGAAACUGGCAGGCUAGAGUCUUGUAGAGGGGGGUAGAAUCCCAGGUGUAGCGGUGAAAUGCGUAGAGAUCUGGAGGAAUACAGGUGGCGAAGGCGGCCCCCUGGACAAAGACUGACGCUCAGGUGCGAAAGCGUGGGGAGCAAACAGGAUUAGAUACCCGUGUAGCC
rnacentral:rRNA from 1 species